rnacentral:rRNA from 1 species
AGAGUUUGAUCCUGGCUCAGGAUGAACGCUAGCGGCAGGCUUAACACAUGCAAGUCGAGGGGUAUAGUUCUUCGGAACUAGAGACCGGCGCACGGGUGCGUAACGCGUAUGCAAUCUACCUUUUGCAGAGGGAUAGCCCAGAGAAAUUUGGAUUAAUACCUCAUAGUAUGUGAGAAUGGCAUCAUUUUCGCAUUAAAGUCACAACGGCAAAAGAUGAGCAUGCGUCCCAUUAGCUAGUUGGUAAGGUAACGGCUUACCAAGGCAACGAUGGGUAGGGGUCCUGAGAGGGAGAUCCCCCACACUGGUACUGAGACACGGACCAGACUCCUACGGGAGGCAGCAGUGAGGAAUAUUGGACAAUGGGCGCAAGCCUGAUCCAGCCAUGCCGCGUGCAGGAUGACGGUCCUAUGGAUUGUAAACUGCUUUUGUACAGGAAGAAACACUGGUUCGUGAACCAGCUUGACGGUACUGUAAGAAUAAGGAUCGGCUAACUCCGUGCCAGCAGCCGCGGUAAUACGGAGGAUCYAAGCGUUAUCCGGAAUCAUUGGGUUUAAAGGGUCCGUAGGCGGUUUAGUAAGUCAGUGGUGAAAGCCCAUCGCUCAACGGUGGAACGGCCAUUGAUACUGCUAGACUUGAAUUAUUAGGAAGUAACUAGAAUAUGUAGUGUAGCGGUGAAAUGCGUAGRAAG